UGAGUUUCCUUAAAGACUCUUGUCUUCAAAAAAUCACGGUGUCUAAUAUAAAUAAUGAUGAUUCAAACUUAUCGUUAAUGGAUGAUGAAGAUAAUGCAGAAAGCAUCCGAACAGAUUCCAGUAAAGGAAAAAAGAAGAAAACAAAUGAUGGGUCGACAGAUGCGAUAGAGAGAAUUGCGGACGCUAUUUGUCAAGAAAAGAAUAUAACCUUACCUCCACCACCAG